rnacentral:rRNA from 1 species
GAAUAUUGGACAAUGGGCGAAAGCCUGAUCCAGCCAUGCCGCGUGUGUGAAGAAGGUCUUCGGAUUGUAAAGCACUUUAAGUUGGGAGGAAGGGCAGUAAGUUAAUACCUUGCUGUUUUGACGUUACCGACAGAAUAAGCACCGGCUAACCCUGUCACAGCAGCCGCGGUAAUACAGAGGGUGCAGGCGUUAAUCGGAAUUACUGGGCGUAAAGCGCGCGUAGGUGGUUUGUUAAGUUGGAUGUGAAAGCCCCGGGCUCAACCUGGGAACUGCAUCCAAAACUGGCGAGCUAGAGUAUGGCAGAGGGUGGUGGAAUUUCCUGUGUAGCGGUGAAAUGCGUAGAUAUAGGAAGGAACACCAGUGGCGAAGGCGACCACCUGGGCUAAUACUGACACUGAGGUGCGAAAGCGUGGGGAGCAAACAGG